rnacentral:rRNA from 1 species
AUUGAACGCUGGCGGCAGGCCUAACACAUGCAAGUCGAGCGGGGUUUUCGGACCUAGCGGCGGACGGGUGAGUAAUGCGUAGGAAGCUGCCCGAUAGAGGGGGAUACCAGUUGGAAACGACUGUUAAUACCGCAUAAUGUCUACGGACCAAAGUGUGGGACCUUCGGGCCACAUGCUAUCGGAUGCGCCUACGUGGGAUUAGCUAGUUGGUGAGGUAAUGGCUCACCAAGGCGACGAUCUCUAGCUGGUUUGAGAGGAUGAUCAGCCACACUGGAACUGAGACACGGUCCAGACUCCUACGGGAGGCAGCAGUGGGGAAUAUUGGACAAUGGGCGCAAGCCUGAUCCAGCCAUGCCGCGUGUGUGAAGAAGGCCUUCGGGUCGUAAAGCACUUUAAGUUGGGAGGAAGCGUUGUGUGUUAAUAGUACACAGCGUUGACGUUACCUACAGAAGAAGCACCGGCUAACUCUGUGCCAGCCGCCGCCGUAAUAC